rnacentral:lncRNA from 1 species
CCAAAUUUCACUUCUGUCAGGGCCUCUAUAGACCCUGAAAUUUCUCUGGAAGUGCAUGAAGUAGCAUUGUCAAGCUAAUAACACUCACAAAACACACUUCGACGUAGCAUAUCAUUGCUGUAAUUUUCUGGUACAAAACUCACACAAGGAAGGGCUUACAAUGGAGGAAGACACACACAAACUGCUGCUGUUUCUUCUUCUCUGUUACUUCCCCGGUUUCUGCUCACUUUCGACUGCUACCCACUGCCCUUCUCUCAAUAAUUUCAGCUCCAUGUAACCUACCACUUGGAAAAAAUAAUACACUUAACACACAUUCAACUCUAGCUAACAUUAAGCUAACUCUAGCCAACUAGCCUUACAGCACAGUAACAUUAACAGUUGGUCCUGUCGGAAAAAAAGAGAUGAUAUUUGUAUAGGUAUUUUGUCAAUCAAUUUCUUACAUAAACAAAAACAAUUUUUUGUGGUCUAUAAAUUGAUCCUAUUGUUUGUUUUAAUUUAACCUUUUAAUGUGCUCUAAGGAGAAAAUUCAGCGUUAACCAUUGAGGUAGUGGAUUGAGAGCAGACUCAUCACAGGUUUAGGCCAAGAGCUCUUUCACAAGCAGAAACUGUUCCCAAUCAUCUGUGCAAACCAGCCACCAUUGUUUACCACAAUUUAAUUGUAAAAUGAGACUUCAAUGCUUGUUGCAAGCUAAGGAAGAAAUGUAAUGUGGAUGUACCAUGAGUGACACAUGCUUAAAAACUGCAUAUCCUGUCGAUAAUCACCACCUGUAAGUAUAAAACGAUUACUAUUAUAAGUUGAUAAGUGUCACGACCCGAAUCCCGGAUCCAUGACCGACACAUAGGCAAGGUUCCCCUCAAAGGUUCCAUACCUAUGCGAACCCAAACUUACACACAAACUUAUCCUAACUCAAUCAGAGUUCAACGCAGCAUUAAUAACAAAAUCAACUUCAUAAUAUAAUUGAAUUGUCUUAAUACAAGAGUUAAUAUAAUGCAGAGUUUUGGAGCACUAACUUGACAUUAAAGGAAGGUACAAAUUACAACCAAAAAGCAGGUUCGGAAGGUUCAACAAAAUGACCUGCUAUCAAGCUAUAAGCCUGAAAAGGAUAAAUAAUGAGAUGGUGAGUUCAACAACUCAGUGAGUAGAUAACGUUCAAUAUACACACACGAGGUAAUAAAACAAUGAGAAAUAUAUAUACAAGUAUGGCUUUAGGUUCUUAUGGAAAUGUUUCUCAAAUUGACCAUAACAAGAAUGUCAUAUGGUAAAACUCGUCAGAAAAUCAAAUGCAAUGAGCAUGAGGCUCCGUACUGUGGGAUGAUCAGUCCACACAGGUUGGUGACUCCCUCGACCAACUAGGGUUCAGAUACAAUGUGCACAAAGACUAACACUACCCUGUUAGCAUGGGUAUUCUGACUGACAUACCAUAGGUUCAUAAUCAUAAUCUAACAAACAUAUUCAUAUCUCAAAGCUCAACUCAUGACAUCAAUAAAAUGAAGAGCUAUCAAUUCAGAGGUCAAUUCAAAAUAUAUGUUGGUUCAUAUCAAGAAUUCAGAUUCAAUAAUUGAUCAUGCUUUAUCAUAACAAGGAUAAUAAUCAACAUAUAUAUUAUUAAGAAGCAUGAUUCAAUUCAUAUUAACAAAUCAAAUAUUUAUACUAUUUCUCAUGCAUAUGGAAAAUUAUCCACUCAUCUGACUCGAAAGCAACAAAACUCAAAGCUGAUAUCGAAGGAAAUCCUACUGACGUCCCGCCGGUAGAAUAUCAGGAUUAUCUGAAUACAAAUGAGACAUGUUCAAGAAUGACUCAAAAAAACAUAUAACCUAUUUAAUACACUUAUCUAAGGGUGUAUUCCAUAACCCUAUAUGUUUUUGAACUAACUAGUCAAUUUUCUCAAAAACCCAAAAUUUAACGGUUUUCCCGAAAUCUAAUCCAUAAUAAAACAACUAAUAAAAUUGAUAAUAAUUCACUAAAUAACCCUCAAUUAUUCAUCAAAUCAAUCUGCAAAAAUUAAUAUUACAGCUAGGGACUAAUCUGUAAUUUAUCCUAUUUUUAAGGGUCAAAUUGCAACUUUUGUCAAAUUGAAGGACCAAACUGAAAUUUGUCAUAAAUCCAUUACUAUACUGAAUUUCUGACCAUAAUUAGUCCUCAUUUCUGUCCAGAUCAUCUCAUUAUACUCCAAGGACCAUUCUGGAAUUUUACCAAAUUUUUAGGGUCAAAUUGUAAUUUUUGUCAAAUUGGAGGACUAAAUUGAAAGUGUUAAAAUUUCAUAACUAUACUAGAAUUCUGCCCUUAAUUCAUAUAUUAUUCUGUUCAGAAUCUCGGAAUAGGCUCCAGGGACCAAUCUGUAAAUUUUCCAAAGUUUGGGGACUAAAAUGUAAUUUUCCAAAAUUGAGGGACCAAACCGAAAUUGUCAUCUUCAACCUCAAACCCAGAAUUCUCACAGAUUACCUACUGUUCUUGCCAAAUUUCUAACUCAACAUUCACCAUUUACACAAUUCAUAACUCAAAAUCAUCACAAUCUUCCAUAAUCAACUCAUUAAUCAAUUACCCAUAACAAUCAACCUUAUAACAUUCAAUUUAAUUCAUCAAUUAACCCAAAACACAAAUUUUCAAAACCCUAACAUUCAUCAAAACUGAAAUUAAAGCUUAAUUAACACAUAUUUAUACAUAAUCUUACCUUUAAACUUAUUUUCUUCAACUCCUUUCUAUUUCCCUUCUAAUUUCCCUCUUUUCUCUUCUUCUUCUUCUUUCUCCCUUCUCUCUCACGGUUUGCUCUCUCAAAUAUUCAGAUCUCCUUUUUUUUUUCUUCUUUCUAUUUAUAUUUAUCAUCUCUUUAUUCAAUUACUACUAUACCCCUCAUUCAUUUAUUCCAAC